rnacentral:rRNA from 1 species
GACGAACGCUGGCGGCGUGCCUAACACAUGCAAGUCGAACGGAGAAUUUCAAUAAGCUUGCUUAGAGAGAUUUUUAGUGGCGGACGGGUGAGUAACGCGUGGGUAACCUACCCAUAAAGUCGGGACAACCCUUGGAAACGAGGGCUAAUACCGAAUAAUCUUAGAUUUUGGCAUCAAGAUUUAAGGAAAGGUGGCCUCUUUAUAUGCUACCGAUUAUGGAUGGACCCGCGUCUGAUUAGCUAGUUGGUGGGGUAAAGGCCUACCAAGGCGACGAUCAGUAGCCGGCCUGAGAGGGUGAUCCCCCACAAUGGAACUGAAACACGGUCCAUACACCUGCGGGUGGCAGCAGUAGGGAAUAUUGCUUAAUGGGCGAAAGCCUGAAGCAGCAACGCCGCGUGAACGAAGAAGGCCUUCGGGUCGUAAAGUUCUUUUACGUGGGAUGAGGAAGGACAGUACCACGAGAAUAAGGAUCGGCUAACUCCGUGCCAGCAGCCGCGGUAAUACGGAGGAUCCGAGCGUUAUCCGGAUUUAUUGGGUUUAAAGGGUGCGCAGGCGGCAUGUUAAGUCGGCGGUGAAAUUUUGCAGCUCAACUGUAAAAGAGCCUUCGAAACUGGCAAGCUUGAGUGUGGAUGAAGUAGGCGGAAUUUGUGGUGUAGCGGUGAAAUGCAUAGAUAUCACAAAGAACACCGAUUGCGCAGGCAGCUUACUAAACCAUAACUGACGCUCAUGCACGAAAGGCGUGGGGAUCAAACAGGAUUAGAUACCCUGGUAGUCCACGCAGUAAACGAUGAUUACUGGCUGUUUGCGAUACAAUAUAAGCGGCUGAGCGAAAGCGUUAAGUAAUCCACCUGGGGAGUACGUUCGCAAGAAUGAAACUCAAAGGAAUUGACGGGGGCCCGCACAAGCGGAGGAACAUGUGGUUUAAUUCGAUGAUACGCGAGGAACCUUACCCGGGCUUGAAAUGCAUCUGACGUAUUCGGAAACGGAUAUUCCCUACGGGGCAGAUGUGUAGGUGCUGCAUGGUUGUCGUCAGCUCGUGUCGUGAGAUGUUGGGUUAAGUCCCGCAACGAGCGCAACCCCUGUUGCCAGUUACAAGUGUCUGGCGAGACUGCCGGUAUCAAGCCGGAGGAAGGUGGGGAUGACGUCAAGUCAGCAUGACCUUUAUAUCUGGGGCUACACACACGCUACAAUGGUCGGUACAAUGCGUUGCCAAGCCGCGAGGCGGAGCUAAUCACAGCAAAACCGGCCUCAGUUCGGAUAGGAGGCUGCAACCCGCCUCCUUGAAGUCGGAGUUGCUAGUAAACGCCGGUCAGCUAUACGGCGUUGAAUACGUUCCCGGGCCUUGUACACACCGCCCGUCACGUCAUGGGAGCUGGUAACACCUGAAGUCGGUGCGCCAACCGCAAGGAGGCAGCUGCCGAGGGUGGGACUGGUGACUGGGACG